GUGUUGUAUGAAAGGAGAGGUUAGCCCUCCCCUUAACAAAGACAGAAGAGGCCCUCAGGCCUAAUAACACAGAGUUCCUGGCAUCUCACUAUGUUUUUAU
rnacentral:ncRNA from 1 species